rnacentral:rRNA from 1 species
GACGAACGCUGGCGGCGUGCCUAAUACAUGCAAGUAGAACGCAGUUGCGAACGGGUGAGUAACGCGUAGGUAACUGCCUCAUAGCGGGGGAAAAGAAUUGGAAACGAUAGCUAAAACCGCAUACUGUGAGAUGUACCUGCGUUGUAUUAGCUAGUUGGUGAGGUAAAGGCUCACCAAGGCGACGAUACAUAGCCGACCUGAGAGGGGGAUGGGCAAAAAUGGGACUGAGAUACGACCCAGACUCGUACGGUAGGCAGCAGGAGGGAAUCUGCGGCAAUUGACGGAAGACUGACCGAGCAACGCUGCGUGAGUGAAGAAGGUUUUCGGAUCGUAUAGCUCUGGUGUUAGAGAAGCGGGAACUAACCAGAAAGGGACUGCUUACUACGUGCCAGCAGCCGGGGUAAUAC